rnacentral:rRNA from 1 species
GGGGAAUCUUGCGCAAUGGGCGAAAGCCUGACGCAGCAACGCCGCGUGGGGGAUGAAGGCUCUCGGGUUGUAAACCCCUUUCAGCAGGGACGAAUCAAGACGGUACCUGCAGAAGAAGCCCCGGCUAACUACGUGCCAGCAGCCGCGGUAACACGUAGGGGGCAAGCGUUGUCCGGAUUUAUUGGGCGUAAAGAGCUCGUAGGUGGCUGAGUAAGUCGGAUGUUAAAUCCCCAGGCUCAACCUGGGACACCACCCGAUACUGCUCUGGCUAGAGUCCGGUAGGGGAGCGUGGAAUUCCUGGUGUAGCGGUGAAAUGCGCAGAUAUCAGGAGGAACACCAGCGGCGAAGGCGGCGCUCUGGGCCGGUACUGACACUGAGGAGCGAAAGCGUGGGUAGCAAAC